UGCCCAGCAACUCUUAUCCCUAUCUCCUCGUGGUACUGGCCGUGGUACGUGUAACCUUAGGGAAGAUCGAGUAACCAACCAAGUAAGUGGGAACUUUGGUCGUAUGCUGACAGGGAAG
rnacentral:ribozyme from 1 species